CUAACAUGAAUGUGUUCUCUCUCCCCAGGCCUCGCACCCAAGUCCCCUGCAUGGGGCGGGAUGGCGCUUAACAUCGUGACAGACACGCGAGACCCAGACAUGACCCCAAGGGCCUUGGUGCCAGUGUCAUUGUAGCAUCACCCGUGGCUGCCACGCCGUGACAUGGGCAGAGCCUUAGAGCCACGCUCAUGGUGAUGUCACUGAACACGGAUGUCAGGGCCAACUGGCUACCGAGGAUGCUGGGAGCGAGUGGUGGGCUCGGCCAUGAUUGACAGCUCUGCUGACCAACCCCGUGUGGCCCCACCAUGAUGAGGCCCCGCCCACCCAGCAGCCGCCAUCAUGCGUGUGCUCAUCUGCCUCUGCCCUGGAUCCCAUCCCUGUCACGCAUGUUCAUGUGUGUCUCCCGUCCCCGCCCCCAUGGCCCCAUGACCACUGGCAUGUUGCAUGUGAGUGGCGUAUUGAGUGUGGGCAUUGGUGGGUUCUGCGUGGGCGCCGUGGUGAGCACGCGGUACAGGAAGCUGCGUGGUCUGUAUGCGCCCCUGCUGGGCCCCUUGGAGCAGUUCCUGGGUGUCAUCAACACAUAGUUAAAUAGACAACAUAUUGCUUUAUUUCAUUGCCCAUAAAGAUAAUGAAUGCAUACUAUGAAAUGAAAGUAUUGCUAUGCAGCUGUGUCUCUCAGCUACAUCAUCAGCAAAGAAUGCAGAUAUUGCAAUGCUUAUUCAACACACUUAAUUAAUAUAGUCUGUCAAUAAAUGGCCAACAUUGUCCUAAUCAUACUUUUCUAUCUCCAGCAGAUGUGGAUAAAUGUGUGAGAUGUCCAGAGAAUGAGUAUGCAAACAGAGAGCAGAACCAGUGUGUUCAAAAAGCUGUGGUCUUCCUGAACUACAAAGACACCUUAGGGAUGGUUCUCACCUUAAUGGCCUUAUUCUUGUCUGCAUUCACAACAUCCCCGUGAUAAGUUGGAUUCAUCCAAGGCAUGCUGGUAUGGUUCAACAUACAAAAAAAAAAUCUAUAGUGUAAUUACAAUAUAAACAAACUAAAAGAAUAAAAACAAAAUAAUUAUCUUAUUAGAUGCUGAAAAAGCAUUCAACAAAAUUAAACAUCCCUUAAGGAUAAAGGUCUUGGAGAGAUCAUGUAUAAAAGGAACACAUAUAAACAUAAGAAAACAAUACAGAGGAAGCCAAGAGUCAAAAUCAAUUCAAAUGGAGGGAAAUUCAAAGUAAUUAUACUAAAAUCAGGAACAAGAAAAGGCUGUUCACUCUCACUAUAUCUAUUCAACAAAGUACUCAAAGUUCUAGCAGGAGCAAUAAAACAACAAAAGGAGAUUAAACGAAUACAAAUUUGUAACACCCGAUUUUGUGUUACACGCUCGGUACAGUUCGUGCGCCAUUGCACUGUACACGAGUCGGGCAAGAGCCUGGAGAUUGAAAGAACACACAGACCAGGGUCAUUCGAAAGGAGAUCAGCCAAAUGCCAGUUUAUUCAGAAUAGGGGGAGUCCUUAUCUACCUAACCUCUGCACAAGGAUCUCCGCCCAGGCAGGUGGGAAAUUGCCAUAUUAACAAUAGAGACAAUGCCCUGCAGCUAAUCACCAGGUGGGGCAGGGAGAGCACAGAAACACACAGGAAGCUUAGUUAGCUGACUAUAAACUGUCCCCGUGAAUGCACCCCAGGAAUAAAGGCAGACCAGGGCCCUACAGGUCCCCCUUUUAUAUAAAUUAUGACUAGGCCUGUAUUGGGUGGCAUUGGACGUCAGGCAAUACCCCUUACCUGUCAUGGGAAAGCAUCCAGGUCAAAACACAUUUCCUGUCUUAGGUUGGGGCAGCCCCCCAAAAGCCUUUCCUGUCAUUGGCUCACUAGUCAACCAUCACCGAGUUCAGCCAGAUUUAUGCUGAAAGAUUCUCUGGGGCAAUAGCUAAGAGGACUUUCCAUGUGGCAACAUUGACCUGAGCUUGCCUUUGGCUCUGGCAUGAUGCUCCAGCACAUAUAAGCAUCCCUUAAGGAGACUGUGCUUGCUCAAUCCUUAAUAAUUUUGCCCAAAUUGGAGCCCUUUAAGUAAGGUCUCAGUGCUGGUGAAAGGAAUCCUGGUAUAGCUAAUUAGAAUAAUUUUAAGAGCCAAUUUGCAAAUUGUACACCUCAGGGUCCAUGAAUAACAGCAAUAAGCCUAUUACUGUAACAUCUAGCAGUGGUCUUUAACCAUAACCAAGAUCAGAAUCAACUGCAAUAUUCAUUUGUAACUUUAGCUCAAUUAGAAUGGCCAAGGCAUUUGCAACCUGCCCUGAGAAGGUAUCAUUUAUGCUAGCAGGAAGCAACUGACUGACUAAUGAAAAAUCCAGCAGCUGCUGUGGCAGCAACAGCUAUGGCUGCCGAUAUCAUGGGAUGGGUAGAUGGGUAGAGGAACAAUCCUUGGCACUCGGACCACCGCAGCCAGCUCCUCAGGAAUCCUGCAACUCUUAAGUUGCCAAGCCAGAAUCUCCUUGAUCUCUUGGCUUUGUCCUGUCUUCAGGCUUCUGGACAGGAAAACACACAGCACGCACCAGCCGCUCAGGUGCCCAUAUUGGAUUGUCAGCAUCCUGCGGGAAAACACAAACAGCCCCUCUUCCCCACACCAGUACAGGAUCUGGACCAUACCAGGUGCUGUCUGAUAGAUUCAUCCAUUUGACAUGAGGCAUCCCGGAAGAAUCUGGUCGCCAAUGCCGUUCAGCAGCAGUAUGAGAUUGAGCAUCAAGAGUCAAAAAAUUUAAAAUGUAUAAAAUAAAAGAUAAAUGAUCUCUGGGGUUGGAACCAUAUUCCCCCUUUUUAGUUUUAUGCAAAUAGGCUUUGAGCGUAUGAUGCGCUCGCUCCACUAUAGCUUGUCCUUGAGGAUUAUAAGGUAUUUUCGUUUUGUGAGAAAUAGAAAACUUAGAGCAAAAUUUAGCAAAGCCAGUGCUAGUAUAGGCUGGUCCUGUAGGGAUAGCCCAACUCCCUUAGGGGGCGUGUUUGCCUUGGGCUAAUGUUUACAUAUAAAUCUGGCAAGUGUGAGCCAGCCACCGCUUUUGCUUUCCUGUUCUCCCCGGGAACCUGUGGUUCUGUAAGUCUAUUUCCCCAUUAAAGAUGUAUAUAUUAUUACAAUCUGUCUGCAUUCAUUUUCGCCGAUACAUUUGGCCCCUAAUGUCCAGCUUUUUUGCCCCGCCCCGAGCAGCUCGGGGACGUAGGCUUGAAUUUUAAUUUGAGAGAGUUACACAUCCCAAUCUCGUAGCCCUCUGACUGGGUCCUAAAAACACAGUAACUCCCAGGUG